UACGAAGGGGGCUAGCGUUGAUCGGAAUCACUGGGCGUAAAGCGCACGUAGGCGGAUGUGUCAGUCAGGGGUGAAAUCCCGGAGCUCAACUUCGGAACUGCCUCUGAUACAGCACGUCUUGAGUCCGGAAGAGGUGGGUGGAAUUCCUAGUGUAGAGGUGAAAUUCGUAGAUAUUAGGAGGAACACCAGUGGCGAAGGCGACUGUCUGGGCCAUUACUGACGCUGAGGCGCGAAAGCGUGGGGAGCAAACAGG
rnacentral:misc_RNA from 1 species